GGAUUAGGCAUGCAAGUCGAGCGAGGAGUAUUGGUAGCAAUACUGGUACAUUCGAGCGGCGUAAGGGGCAGUAAUACCUGGGAACGUACCCAAAGGUCGGGGAUAGCUGCUGGGAACGGCGAGUAAUACCCGAUGAUGCCGAGAGGCCAAAGGCUUGCCGCCUUUGGAGCGGCCCAGGCGAUAUUAGCUAGUUGGUGGGGUAACGGCCUACCAAGGCAAAGAUGUCUAGCGGGUGUGAGAGCACGACCCGCGCCACUGGCACUGAGACACUGGCCAGACACCUACGGGUGGCUGCAGUCGAGAAUCUUCGGCAAUGGGCGAAAGCCUGACCGAGCGACGCCGCGUGCGGGAUGAAGGCCUUCGGGUUGUAAACCGCUUUGGUCCGAGAGAAAGGGCAACUUGAUCGAUCGGAGAAACAAGGACGGGCUAAGUUCGUGCCAGCAGCCGCGGUAAUA
rnacentral:rRNA from 1 species